CCCCUCCUUAAAGGUAACUUCUGCCCUAUGAAGUUUAAAUGACCGCGGUACCCUGACCGUGCUAAGGUAGCAUAAUAAUUUGCCUCUUAAUUAGAGGCUGGUAUGAACGAACCCACGAAGGUCUCCCUGUUUCACCUUUAGCCUUAAAAAUUAUCCUUAAAAUGAAGAGAUUUUAAUACAAUAAAAAGACAAAAAGACCCUAUUGAGCUUUAUUUUAACCUAGGCCCUAAAUUAGCCCACACCUAACCCUCCCCUACUUAAAAUUUUGUUGGGGCGACAUAAGAGGAUCUAAAUCCCCUUAUAAAAUAUAAGGAAACCCUCCUUACCCUCGAUCCGCAAGCGCGAUUAAAGAAUGAAGCUACCAUAGGGAUAACAGGCUAAUCUUCCUUAAGAGCCCAAAUUGACAGGAAGGUUUGGCACCUCGAUGUUGGCUUAAGGUACCUAAUAAAUGCAGAAGUUUAUUAAGUUGGUUUGUUCAACCUUUAAUACCUU
rnacentral:rRNA from 1 species